GUAACGGUGAUGUAAGAUCAAUGUUACCGCAAAUACACACACACAAUCAAUCUCUGCUAACUGGCUGCUCACAUUACUGAAUACGGAACCCUCCCCGGUAUUGUGCAACCGAACCGGCAGAAUGCUGCAUUGAAGACGAAUGGGCGUAAGUAUGAUUCUGUCGCUCUUAACUUGCUAUAAAAAUUGAACGAAAUUAAAAAUUCCUUAUUAUCGUUCAGGCAUCAACACAUGCUUCUCCUUCUUUGGAGAUAUUCGCUCACUUUCACUAUUCAAUUUUGCAUGUAAACAGCACUAAAUGUAAACAAAUUACCAUUUGCCAGAAGAUCUAAUCUACGCAUCUAAUGUAAACAUCAACUUCGCUCUAGCGCCUGUCAUCGCAUCCUUGCCCUUUUGCUUCUUAUUUUGCUCCCCUGUUGAUGGGCAAAUCCACUGUUGUUGGUCUUCAAAAUUCAAUUUAUCAAAGUUAGCAAGGUUUCUUCUUCACUAGCAAAGUUGCACAAACAAAUCACGACAGAAAUGACUGUCAAAAACCAAAAUGUCAUGGGGAGUAAAAUUUUGGCAUUUUCUUUUGAAUUAGGGGUGAUUAAAAUAGAAGUAUGAAUGAUAACGAGUAAAGGGAGAAGAACAAACUUAAAAAAUAGCCUUGUCCGGAACUAACCAUUAGACGGAACGAUAAAUUGUUUGACAUAAUCCAGGUGUCACGUAGUCCAUAAACUGUCGCCAUCUUUAAUUUAGUCAUUCAUCUCACCGACCCAUCACAUAUUCGUAACAAUUAAGCACUGAUUAGUGGAAUAUUGUUGCUUUCCGCCGCCAAUCCGUGCGUAAUUCAUUCAGAUCUAUGAAACAUCAUAAAGCAGACACACGACCGACUGUCGUCCCGAACCCUGCACCAUCAUCUUGGACGUCCGGUAGUCGUUAAUUUUAUUCCCAAUAAAUUCUUCCCUCCCGCACAACAAUCCGGACAGAAAGGCUCUUCACACUCAUCUCAUUUUAUUACCAUUUUGUUUCUACUGCGUCUGGAGCCGGCAAACUUCAAACACCGCUGGUUCAGUUCCUCGACCCAGUAUGGAAGCGAGAGUUAGCGGAGCCUCCGUUUCCAUCUGGAUGGGACUUGGUUCUGUGUUUGUGUGUAUACCACCAUCACAACCGAUGGGAACCAUUCUUUGGACCUCUUGCUUCCCAUUCUCUAUCCAGACGCCAGCCGCAAGAAGCAUUCCUAUUGCCAUAUAUGGGGCUUUUGGCCUUCUGAUCGUCAGCCAUCGAAGAAAACUCGUUCCUGCCAGAAGGGUCAAAUUCUGUACCGAUCUUCUUGGAUGUUGCUUGGUUCUCGCAGGCUACGUUUCUCUUUGGUGUUUGUUUUAUCGGACGAAAUUUGAGUACACAGGGCUACCGAUGAUGACCCGCAGGCACAGACGCUUGCAGUGGAUCUCCAACUCGAAAUCGCUCGCACCAACCCUAUAUCCGUGUUCAGUACCAUCGACUUCAAACGUGCGACUUCUAAAGGUUUGGCUUUCAGAAACCGUUUGUUUUAAAAUUUAUUUACUCCACACCAAUGGUAAACAAAGUUCCUCGAGUUCCUCCCGCACGAACGCAUAUGCGUUCUGGAGUACUAGCCAUCCAGCGUUGGAAUGGGGUUCGAUUGCAGAAGAAAGACCUCAAGAUACCCUUUUUACGCAUUUAUAACUGCGUUUUAUUUACGCAACAUUAAAGGAAAAGGUAGCUUGGAAGUUUGGAAACGGUAGUAACUUACAAAAUAACACCCAAGUUGUCGCCCGGGAACCAUGAUCUUCCUUUUAGUGGAGAAGUUUCGUACAUAUGAGAGUUCCCGUUAAUCCGAGCUCUCUCUGUUGAACGCAUUUCUCCGAUCACGUUCAAGUGCAAGUUUAUGUAGGGAAUCGAUGUACAAGCGGAGUUGUAAUCGUCAGCUGCCCAACACCGUCACUUCAAGAUUUUUUAAACACCGACCACGUUUGAGCGUAAGGUUUGUUUAUUAUUUCUACCGACACGGGACACAGGGAAAACCGACUUUAUACGAACGGAGUGAGAGGGUGGUAGGUAGAGCAUUAUGGUCUAGUGAGAAGGGAAUAAACACACCGCACCAAAUGCAUCAAACGCGGGUGUACUGCACUUCUUCAAAAGGGAGCGUUUGAUCACAUUAACGCGUUUUCUGGAGAAGUUCUUCAGUAAUGCUUCGACGAGUAGCAGCACUAAGCGAACAAUCAAGACGACUGGAAACCGUGGAAAUCUUGCAUCAACAAAUUCUUUGCAUUGCAGCUCCACUUUGAAGGUUUCCAUUCACAGUCCCUUCCCAGUUAUGUUACGACAUCAAAAGUGCCUAAAAUCUGCUAAUAAAAAGAUGUACACAUCCUGUACGUCUUACGACGAGUUUCGUUGGUAAUCAGUUUUAUCAUUCGCCGAAGGUCCCGGUGUAAGGACACACCCCAGAAGAAGGGUGCUAGAAAUUACGAUGUAAAAAAAAUAGUUCUCGCACUAGACUCAUUGGGGUGCGUUUAAUUUGUUUAUUUUUUCUCUCCUUCUUCGUCUGUGUGUCCUCCCCCGGAGUAUGUUUGUCGCUUUUCACUCACGUCAAUUCUUUCACCUCGACAUCAUAAAUUUUGUGCAUUAUUAUCGCUUUACCGCCGUUCAACACACGCCGAAAUAGGAACGAACUUCUAGAAAGAAAAGGGGACAUCCGCUGCUAGGUCCUGGCAGGGUCUGACGAAAUAUCAUUCGUAUAGGCGGUGACCAAUGUGCGAACGUAUGCAGGGAAUUCCCCGUUACGAAUUCGGUGCACCAUAAACCAGGAACGGGCGUGUAAUUCUUCGGCAAAACGCGUCUCCGAGCUAGCGUAAGUUGGCGUAAUCGUAAAUUACGUACUUUACGACGGAUUUCAGUUUUUAUUGCUGCGGAUGCGGACGAGCCCACUCCCUCUGUUGCCGAGUCUGGAACCAGAGCGAACCUGACCUGAACCACGACCAAAGCCGGUAUGUGUACUGUACUAUGCAGUCGACCUAUUCUAGAAAGCGUCUAACCAGAAGGGAGUUCUUCCAACACAAUCUCGUGGACGGCAGCUCAUUGAUUCCGGCACUGCUACGUUGAAUGGUAAAUCGAGGAGCGUGGAUUGACGACGUGCAACGAAGCGUUUGCUAGCAUUAAAAAGGGAGCUAAAAACACACUCCCUUCGGUGCCCUUUCCAAUGUAUGCUUCCAGAAAGGAAGGAAGUUUUGUUGCCAUUUUGUUUGUCGUCUGGCUGGCUACGGAAGACUCCGUCACUCUCGGUAGAUCUCGCUUACAUCCAACCACUCCAGACUCGAGAGACCACUUGAACUGUAUACCCACUUGUUCGUCAUCAUCGUCACUGUCGGCAAAGGAAGGCAAAGGGCCGAGGGGCCCGCUGACGGCUCGCUGAAUUUUGGAGUAUUUUGGGUAGAGUGUGCGGAGUUAGAAGCAAAGUGGAUCAGUUUGUACGGCGAUACGAUAACCGGCCUUACGGUGUGUAAUGAAAUUAUGAGCAACCUCUCGUUUGUGGUUCAACGAGUCAUAGCGGCACACAGAAGGAGCAGGGCCAUAUUUGUUUAUUUGCUUUACGUGUCACUCGGCGCAGCAGUGUAUAACUUUGCGAUCAAGGAUGCCUCAAAGGAUGCGAUAACACGGGUAGGGGCGUUCCAUAUUUUCGACGUAAUAUGAGAAGCUUAAUCUUGCAGCACUUUAACCGGUGUUGAUCUUGCUUGGUCGUUGCCUGUGCGAUUCUGAUGGUCCCGAAGAAAGCUUUAGACAGUGACUUCUUUAAGUGAUCCUUUUUAUUUCUUCCACCUCAUCGGCACCUCGUUGACUGCAAGGAGCGCCAUUUUUCACACAUCCUUCGGUAAUGUAGUUUGAUUCAUUACCGCACUCACUUUCUCCGUUCCAUGCGGUUCCUUU